rnacentral:rRNA from 1 species
AUGUUUACUUUCUCUGCUUGUCUUUCAAAUGUAGAGGUAUUUCAUAUCAACAAGAUAUGUCCAUUUUCUGUGUGUUCCUCUAUAAUUGCUAAUUCAGAACCUCAUGUAUUGGAAAAUUAUAAAAUAUACACAGUACCAUUAAUCGGUUGUAAAUCUGGACAGCUCGGAUUUAACUCUUCAGAACUUUUAUUUGCUUAUGUUUUUACAGAAAUACAGGUCAUUUCCUUGUUUCUAAAUAUACUGGACUAUUAUUUUGGAAUGCUAACUGUAGUUGGGUUAGUUGAUUUUAAGUGUAGCAAUACAUCGAUUUUAACAUGA